GGGUGAGUAACACGUGGGCAACCUGCCUCAAAGUGGGGGAUAGCCCUCCGAAAGGAGGAUUAAUACCGCAUAACAUUAGUUUUCCGCAUGAAAAACUAAUCAAAGGAGUAAUCCGCUUUGAGAUGGGCCCGCGGUGCAUUAGCUAGUUGGUGAGGUAACAGCUCACCAAGGCCACGAUGCAUAGCCGACCUGAGAGGGUGAUCGGCCACAUUGGAACUGAGACACGGUCCAGACUCCUACGGGAGGCAGCAGUGGGGAAUAUUGCGCAAUGGGGGAAACCCUGACGCAGCAACGCCGCGUGGGUGAUGAAGGUCUUCGGA
rnacentral:rRNA from 1 species